rnacentral:rRNA from 1 species
UACGGAGGGUGCAAGCGUUGUCCGGAUUUAUUGGGUUUAAAGGGUGCGAAGGCGGCAACUUCAGUCAGGGGUGAAAUCCCACAGCUCAACUGUGGAACUGCCUUUGAUACUGGGUUGCUUGAGUACAGACGAGGUAGGCGGAAUUUAUGGUGUAGCGGUGAAAUGCAUAGAUACCAUAAAGAACACCGAUAGCGAAGGCAGCUUACUGGACUGUCACUGACGCUCAUGCACGAAAGCGUGGGGAGCGAACAGG